UGUCAAAGUAAUAUCGACAUAAUUCUGCGUCCGUAAACGUUUCCGCUCGUUACCAAGGAAACUGUUCUUUCGAGUAUUUUCAGAGUGUCUCGUGUAGAAUAAAUCAACGGCAAACGAACGUCAAAAAUCAUCUUUUUGCUUGCAAAGGUAACAUUCCCAACUCUAAUGGUUAUAAGUAUGGCAGAGCCAAAAGCUUAUCGGGAACGAUCGUAUUCCUUAUCGCGACUGCCGCGGGCCGCGGGCGUACAAGUCCCACAGGUGAAAUGAUCAAAGUUCGCUAGGUGCCGCGCCACUCGUGCCUGUCCUCGUCAAUUUACACGUAAUAUGUCACGUAGAAGCGCAUCGAGCGAGGGUCGUGGAAAACGACGCGCUCGUGCACUGAUUUCACGGGCCACCUGUCGCACCGACGCCUCAUCCGCCCUAUUCGUUUCGUCGCAUCGGUCACGCAGGGUGUAAGACAUUAUUCUACACGGAGGGUAAGCGGACCGCACCGUGGAAACUAGCUCUGACUUAUUUAUGAAAAUCGUAAAUGGAAACUCUACUUUCGCUGUGAUCUAAUUUCUUACUAUCAUGUAUUUCAAUCAUUUCUCUUAAUAUUCCUUUUUUGUAAUUGAUAUUCCCUUUUUAAAAAAAAGGAAGUUAUGUAUAUAUUUUCAGGAAGUAGAAAUAAGUAGAAUAAAGAUUUUUCUGCUUAUUGUUAGAAUUUAAAAGAAAAUGCACGCUUUAAAAUUAAUAUAAAUAAACUAUCCAUAAUUAUAUUUA